rnacentral:rRNA from 1 species
UACAGAGGGUGCGAGCGUUGUUCGGAAUUAUUGGGCGUAAAGGGCGCGUAGGCGGCGCCACAAGUCACCUGUGAAAACUCUGGGCUCAACCCAGAGCCUGCAGGCGAAACUGUGGUGCUGGAGUAUGGGAGAGGUGCGUGGAAUUCCCGGUGUAGCGGUGAAAUGCGUAGAUAUCGGGAAGAACACCUAUGGCGAAGGCAGCUCUCUGGGACGGUACUGACGCUGAGACGCGAAAGCGUGGGGAGCGAACAGG